UACAGAGGGUGCAAGCGUUGUUCGGAAUUAUUGGGCGUAAAGCGUGUGUAGGCGGACGCCUAAGUGUCUUGUGAAAUCCCACGGCUCACCCGUGGAACUGCUGGGCAUACUGGGCGUCUUGGGCCAACUAGGGGCAGCCGGAACAAGCGGUGGAGCGGUGAAAUGCGUAGAUAUCUGGAGGAAUACCGGUGGCGAAGGCGGCAUCCUGGACCGGCAUUGACGCUGAGGAGCGAAAGCUAGGGGAGCAAACGGG
rnacentral:rRNA from 1 species